rnacentral:misc_RNA from 1 species
UCCAGAGGGUGCGAGUGUUAAUCGGAUUUACUGGGCGUAAAGCGCACGCAGGCGGUCUGUCAAGUCGGAUGUGAAAUCCCCGGGCUCAACCUGGGAACUGCAUCCGACACUGGCAGGCUAGAGUCUUGUAGAGGGGGGUAGAAUUCCAGGUGUAGCGUUGAAAUGCGUAGAGAUCUGGAGGAAUACCGGUGGCGAAGGCGGCCCCCUGGACAAAGACUGACACUCAGGUGCGAAAGCGUGGGGAGCAAACAGG